UGAUUUCAGGAAACACCUGUGCACGUGUGUCUUCUGUACGUUACGAAGUGUAUUUUUGAUGGCACGCUCAUUCCACCUUAAAUCGUUAUACAGGCAUUGAUGAGCAACGAAAUUGUGUAUAAUUGUGCUUCUGUAUUAAAGAAACUUAAGAAGAAUAAACUAAAACGAAGUGCCAUAAACCAAAAUAGAGAUCUCUGAUCGUAAAUUUGAAGACGAACGAAGAAUAGCCAGUAAACCGAUUUAUGUUUUAUUUAAAUCUCACGGGACACGAGGCUGGUCUAAUCGAUGAACAAUGGAUCGGCAUCGACGAAAGAAAAGACUACGUAACAGGGAUUGUAUACUAAUAAAAGGCAGAGACGACGAUUAUCACGAAAUGACCAAACUAUUCCCAAGUGCAAGCUGACGGUUGUACAGGAGCACAUUCUGCGGCAUAGGGGCACACCGCGUGCACACAUUAAUCAACAAGCUGUCCUUUUCCUCCAUUAAACUCUAUACGACCAUCGUCAUUCUUCGUCAAUUUGCACGGCUGGACCUACUCACGGUCCUUCGAUCAAUUAGUAAUUGCUCUACUAACGAUACGAUUUCCGAACCUCGAUAUUUGUAUAGAUAUAGAUAGCAUCAACGAUGAAAACAACCGAAAACGUUGGUUACCAAUGAUUCACAUUAUGACCAACUGUUUGAACUGAUAAAUCUAUUUGAAGUUGUCUUCAUAGAUACUUUGCAUAAGCGAUAAUAUUUAAAGUAAUGUUGUGAGAACGACGCAUGUAUAUACAAUUUACACAGCGUUGUCGCAUAUACGUAUUUUAACCUUGCUGCAUUUUUGACCCAACGAAUCGAAUUUUUCUAUUACUAGAAUAUUUCUUAAAAAAGGAGCUAUAUAUAAAAAUAAUUGCUUCCAAUGUGACCGCUUUAAAAUAAACUCAUAUAAAAGAAAACCGCUACUGUCACGCAUGAUUUCUCGUUUCAAUUGUAUACUAAUAGUUUUCUUAAAGCAUUAAAAAUUCCUUUCUCUAAAGUGAAAUUGGAAAAUCAAAAUUAAAGGUAUAAGCAAAGAUCAAAAUUAAGUGAGGUUAAAAAGUGAAAAGCUCGAGAAUCGCAGCAGGGUUGAGUUAAAGAGUUUGAAAUAAAAAUAUGAUGAUUCUUUCAGGUAAGAGUGGUUAAGAGCGAAGAUAUUUCGACUUGUGACCGUAACAACGGGCGGGAAAAGAACACACUCGUUGUCAUGUUCGCAAAUUAAGCUAUCUUCUCGACAGGUGCCUCGAAACGCGCGAAGUUGCAUCUAUAUAUGUAUCGAAUAGAUGGUCUAUUAUAUGUAUGAUUCUCUUUAUAAAAAGCAGACGAGUUCCUUCAUUCCUUCAAUUUGGAAGUAAACUCGAAAGAAAAUUUACACGUAACGAGAUAAAACAAAUCGUAUGAGUAA